GUGGUUUCCUGCACUUUAACAGGUCACCACCGAAACAACAGACAUGACGAAGCUACUGAAGUUGUCAUACAACGCGGUAUUCUCGAGGGCUUCAACGUUUGCAGCCGUAACAUGCCUUGCUGCAGUUGUAUUCGAAACCUUCUGGAACAACGCGGCUAACAAACUGUUUGACCGCAUAAACAAGGGGAGACAAUGGAAGGAUAUCAAACAUUUAUACAAGGAUGAUUAAUCAACACAUUUACAUAGAUAAUUUGAUGGAGUGAAAGUUGUGGUGUGUGAUUGACAAAUGAACCAACAAGCUGUGCCAACAUCUGCACAUCAAAGGAAGAAGAGUUAUGGAACAAACAUUUCUGACGUAUAGUUCCAACUGUAACAUCAACCAUACCCAGAGAAUUACCCUAUAUUUCUUGGCUGCAACCACAAAAAAACUUCACAAAGAGAAUUCAUGGAUAAAUUAUUGGAACUCUUCAGAAGAAAGCUUGAAAAAUGAUUUAUACUACAUCAGUACUUUCUGAAACUAGACCUGUUUCAAAAUAUGAAAUUUUACAGAGAGUGUUUUGAUUUCUCUGAAUACAUCACAAGAACGAUUUUCUUUGUUCACAUACUACUAGAUCUUGGUGAGUGAUAUAUAAAGACACUAAAUGUUUUAAAUUAAAAUAUAUUAAAAACUGUU